UACAGCCAUAUCAUGGCUGUUGAAACAUCGGUUUUCUUACGAUCAUCAAAGUUAAGCAAUGUUGAGUCUGUUCAGUACUUGGAUAGGUGACCACUUGGAAAUAUCAGGUGUU